rnacentral:lncRNA from 1 species
AGCAAAUCCAAAAGCAAGAAGGAAGAAAAAACAAAACAAACAAAAAACCUAAAUAAAAAAAAUGAAAUAGAGAAACAGGCAAAAAAUCAAUCAAGCAAAAGUUGAAAAAAAAUUAACAAAAUUGACAAACCUUAAGCUAGUUUGACCAAGAAAAACAAGGACAAGACUCAAAUGAACAAAGAGAGGACUGACCUUACAGAAAUAAAAAGGAGUAUAAGAAAAUACUGGGAACAGUUAUAUCCCAUAAAUUAGACAGCCUAGGUAAAAUGUAUAUAUGCCUAGAAAGGCACUAUGAGAUUGACUCAAGAAAAAAAUAGAAAAUCUGAAUAGCCCAAUUACAAGUCAAGAGAUAUAAUUAACAAUGAAGAAACAUCUCACAAAGAGCUGCAGCUCAGAUAACUUCACAUUUGGUGAUUUUACCAAGUCCACCAAGUGCAAAUUCUUCAUAGACUCUUGCAAAAUAAAAAAGAUGUAAUGCUUCCUAGUUCAACCUUUGAGGAGAUUAUUACUCUGUUAACAAAACCCAUACAAAGACAUCAUCGGAAAAGAAAAUUAUAGACCAAUAUCCUUAUCAAAAUACCUGGCACACUGAAUCCAGCACCAUUUCAGAAGGAUUAGACACUAUGGCCAACUAGGAUUUAGCCCAGGAGUGCAAGGUUGGUUUAACAUAGGGAAAUCAAUGUAACUGUAAUAGUAAAAGACAGUAACCACAUUAUCAUCUCCUUAGCUCCAGGAAAAGCAUUUGACAAAGUCCAGCACCUUUAUAUGAUAAAAAUACCUAACAAACUGGGAAUGGAAAGGAAUGUCUCAAUGUGAUAAAGGCCAUUGAUGAAAACCCACAGCAGAUGCCAUAUUUAGUGAUAAAAGAUUGAAUGCAUUUUUCCCCAAGAUUAGGAACAAGACAAGGAUGUCCUUUUAUACCACUUCUAUUCAACAUUGUACUGGAGCUUUUAACUGGGGCAGUUAGGCAAGAAAAUGAAAUAAAAGGCAUCUGGGUUGGGAAAGAAGUAAAACAACCUAUUUGCAGAUGGCAUGUUCUUGUAUAUAGAACAUCCUAAGGAAUCCACUGUAAAACAAUUAGAAUUAAUAAAUGAGUUAGAAAAAAUAAAUGAGUUCAGCUGGAUCGUAGGAUUCAGGAUCAAUAUACAAAAAUCAAUUGUAUUCCUGUACUCUUACAAUGAAUAAUCCAAAAAUGAGACUAAGAAAAAAUUCCAUUCACAAAAGCAUCAAAAAGAAUAAAAAACUUAAAGUUAAUAAGGAAAAGUCAGCAGUGAACAGUGAGAUGUCUUUGUUAUCAGCUGUGCUCUUACAGUUCUUGAGUGAGUAAAAUGGACAUUAUUAAAUAACUACUUUUUUUUCCUUUUUUCUUUUUUCUUUUUUUUUCCUUUUUGACUGCCCUGUGGCACAUGGAGUUUCACAGAACCAAGCCUCAGUUUGACCUGCACCACAGCUGCAGCAAUGCUGGAUCCAUACCCACUGUGCCAUGCUGGGCAUCAAACUUGCCUCCCAGUGUUCCAGAGACGCUGCUGAUCCCACUUAUACCACAGUGGGAACUCCUAAGCACUUUUCUAUUUUAAGACUUUUAAAAUGAUUAUCUCCUUCUUUUUAGAAAAUAUGAAAAGUAGGAGAAAUUAUUAAUUUACAUACUUUAUUUAUUUUAUUUAUUUUUUGGCUAUGCCUAUAGCAUGCAGAAGUUCCUGGGCCAGGGAUUGAACCUGUGCUGCAGCAGUGACCUAAGGAUGUGGGUUUGAUCUCUGGCCCUGCCCAGUGGGUUAAGGAUCUGGCAUUGCCAUGAGCUGUGGUGUAGGUAGCAGAUGUGGCUCAGAUCCUGUGUUGCUGUGGUUGUGGUGUAGGCUGGCAGCUGCACCUCUUGAUUCCACCCCUAGCCUGGGAACUUCCAUAUGCCCCAGGUAUGUGGCCAAAAAAAAAAAAAUGCUACUGGUACUUUGCAGUAUUUUUAUUUUCUCCUAUUAUUUUCUUGUAGUUUGUACACAGUAGUAUGGAAUUGCUUUUUUGUGUGUGUGCUUAUUUGUCUUUUUCAUUGUCUAGUUUUUUUUUAGCACAUAUUUUGUAGAACUGAUCCACCAAUUCCAUCUUCUUGGGAAUAUAAGACUUUCUUCUUGUUUUACACUUCGCUUACAGUCAUACUUCAUGUUUUGAAAUAACUGCAAGGGAGAUUUUCCUCCACUACGAAAUGGUAAUGCCUGAGUUUUGAAUACUUUCCUCUUUGUAAUUGUAAAAGUAACAUAUUCAUCAUAGAAAAAAUUUAGAAAAUACAGAACAGUACAAAGAAAAAUCUAUGAUCUUCAUACCAGAAAUUAACCAAUGUUAAGGAUUUAUUUCUCAUAUGACCUGCCGUUUUAAUGUAGUAUGGUGAACUUUCUCCUUUUGUUCACUUUUGAAGAUUUACAUUGUACAUGGUGGUUGUCUUUUUGUUAUGACUUUACUGUAGUUAAUUAUUGUUCACACUGGGGUGGGUGAGAAAGGGAGAGAGAGGAGGGAAAAGGGAAUUCAGCUCUGAUUUUUUUCCCCCUUCUCGCAGAGUGUUCUUGUGAUCACUUGAAUAAUUCCAGAUUCUAAUGAUCUUUCCAAGGUAAAUAAUUGUAUGCCCACCCAGUCUCCUGAUUCUGCAUUAGAGCUCCCUGAAGGCCACAGCCCUUUUGGUUCUUGGUGCUAGAAGUUGACUUUGGCCUUGUCUGUGUUCAUUCUUUCUGCUCUGUGCCAAACUUUUUGAGAAUAAGAACUCUUCUUAGUAUCUGGCCUCAGAGCUCUUUGUAAGUGAAAUAUCUGGUGUCUGUUAAUUGAGAAAAAUUAUCAAACUCUGGAGUUCCCGUCGUGGCGCAGUGGUUAAUGAAUCCGACUAGGAACCAUGAGGUUGCGGGUUCGGUCCCUGCCCUUGCUCAGUGGGUUAAUGAUCCGGCGUUGCUGUGAGCUGUGGUGUAGGUUGCAGACGUGGCUCGGAUCCCACGUUGCUGUGGCUCUGGCGUAGGCCGGUGGCUAUAGCUCCGAUUCAACCCCUAGCCUGGGAACCUCCAUAUGCCGUGGGAGCGGCCCAAAAAAUAGCAACAACAACAACAACAAAAG